UCGAGCGCGGGAAGCAAGCUGAUCCUCUUCGGAGGUGACGCUUGUGGAACGAGCGGCGGACGGGUGAGUAACACGUGGGCAACCUGCCUGUAAGACUGGGAUAACCCCGGGAAACCGGGGCUAAUACCGGAUAAUACUUUUCAUCACCUGAUGAGAAGUUGAAAGGUGGCUUUUAGCUACCACUUACAGAUGGGCCCGCGGCGCAUUAGCUAGUUGGUGAGGUAACGGCUCACCAAGGCAACGAUGCGUAGCCGACCUGAGAGGGUGAUCGGCCACACUGGGACUGAGACACGGCCCAGACUCCUACGGGAGGCAGCAGUAGGGAAUCUUCCGCAAUGGACGAAAGUCUGACGGAGCAACGCCGCGUGAGUGAUGAAGGUUUUCGGAUCGUAAAGCUCUGUUGUUAGGGAAGAACAAGUGCCGUUCGAAUAGGGCGGCACCUUGACGGUACCUAACCAGAAAGCCCCGGCUAACUACGUGCCAGCAGCCGCGGUAAUACGUAGGGGGCAAGCGUUGUCCGGAAUUAUUGGGCGUAAAGCGCGCGCAGGCGAGUCCUUUAA
rnacentral:rRNA from 1 species